rnacentral:tRNA from 1 species
GAGGGUGUAGCCCAAGAGGUAGAGCGAAUGCUUAGCAUGCAUGGGGUCCUGGGUUCAGUCCCCAGUACCACCU